rnacentral:lncRNA from 1 species
UUUUACUUUCUCUUCCAAUUUUGACCUCUGGGAUGUCAACACUGAUUGUUGUUCUUGGGAAGGAGUCACAUGUGAUGCUUAUGGUCAUGUCGUUGGCAUUGAUCUUAGUUACAAAAACCUUUCAGGCAGCUUCCACUCCAUAUUCGAUCUCCAUCAUCUUCAACACCUGAAUCUUGCUGGAAACAACUUUAAUACCACUCUGUUUUCCUAUGGGUUUGAUAAACUCCAAAAUCUAACUCAUCUCAACCUUUCAAGCUCAUGUUUCCAUGGCCAAAUUCCAGUGGAGAUCUCAUUCUUAAAAAGGUUAGUCUCUCUUGAUCUAUCCAAUCAAGAUUCUUGUUAUUUGAGAUAUUACAAAGUUCUGUACCCUGCCUUCUACAACUAUUACAAACCUCAACAGCCUCUUAAAUUAGAGAAUCCAAACUUCAAGACAUUAAUCAAGAAUUUGAGGUUUCUCACAGCGCUUUAUUUGGAUAGUGUGGACAUUUCAACUCAAAGUGCUAAAUGGUGUGAAACCACAUCUCUUGUACUUCCAAACCUGCAUGUGUUGAGUCUGUCAAGCUGUGGUUUGAAAGGUCCAUUAUGUUCUUCUCUCUCAAGACUCUCUUUUCUUUCCAAACUUAUCCUUGAUGGGAACCCAAUCUCUUAUUUACCUCCCAAUUUCUUGGAAACUUCCUCUCGUUUGGUUUCUCUCAGUUUGAGUGGUUGCAAUUUGAAUGGCCAUUUUCCAACCGGAAUUCUCUUAUCGCCAAAAAUUCAAAGCAUUGACAUUUCAUUUAAUCCCCAACUUAUGGGUCAGUUGCCAGAAUUUCCAGCAAACAAUGCAUUACUGAGUCUGUCACUUUAUCAUACAAAUUUCAGUGGAAAACUACCUGAAUCGAUUGGUAAUCUUAAGUUCCUGAAAAAUUUAGAGCUUUCUUAUUGCAAUUUUUUUGGACCUAUUCCAUCAUCAAUUGCAAAUCUUAGUCACCUGGUCAACCUACUUCUAGCAGGGAACAAGCUUUCUGGAUCAAUACAUUCUUCUUUAUUUACUCUUCCAUCGUUGAAGAACCUGUAUCUUGGAGCCAAUCAAUUGGUUGGGAAAAUUGAUGAGUUCCCCAAUGCAUCUUCUUCUUCGAUUGAGAGAUUAUAUAUUAGCUAUAAUUAUUUAACAGGACCAAUCCCAAAGUCAAUCCUCCAACUUCCAAGGCUUGAAGUGCUUGAGAUCGGAGAAAAUAGCUUCAGUUCCCUGAAGCUUGACAUGUUUGUCCAACUCAAGAACUUAAAGGGUCUCGACUUAUCCAACGUAAGCUUGUUAAUUGAAAGCGACAACAGAAGUCUUACUUUUCCCCAAUUAGAGAGCCUAAGCCUAAGGUUAUGCAAUCUUACUGAAUUUCCAGAAUUCAUUAAAAGGCAAGGCAAGUUGGUUGACUUAGAUCUUUCUAACAAUCAUAUCCAUGGUGUUGUGCCUAAUUGGUUGUGGAAGAGCAGUCUUUCAUCCUUAGACCUUUCUUUCAAUGUGAUUGAUUUUCCAAAACAACUUCCUUUAAGUGAUGCAAACUUCUUUUUCCCAAUGUUGAGGCGAUUGUGUUUGAGGUCCUGUAACAUAAGUGCGUUUCCAGAGUUCUUAAAGAGUCAAGAAAAUUUAGAAUAUCUCGAACUUUCAAAUAAUAAAAUAAGUGGUGCAAUACCAAACUGGGUGUGGAAGAAAAGUUUGCGGUAUCUGUUUCUUGCUAAUAACCAUCUCUCAUCUUUGGACCAACUUUUACCCAAUCAGAGUUCAACUUCUUCACAGGGCUCUUUCAUUUUCGACACAUCUUCUAACAAUUUGAGUGGCCCAAUUCCAAAUUGGUUAUGCAAUAUGAGUCAACUUUACAGAUUCAAUGCAUCUUAUAACAAUUUUAGUGGCUCAAUUCCAAAUUGCUUGGACAAUAUGAGCCAACUUGACACUGUCGAUGUAUCUUAUAACAAUUUGAGUGGCCCAAUUCCAAAUUGCUUGGGCAAUAUGAGUGCUCUGAUGUGGUUGGGUUUGCAAGGAAAUAACUUCAGUGGAAUGAUACCAAAAUUUUCAAAAGCAACCCAACUGCGGUUUCUCAAAGUUAGUGAGAAUAGAUUGGAAGGGAAGUUGCCCAGAUCAUUAGCUGAAUGCACUCAGCUUGAAGUUUUGGACGUGGGAAACAACAAGAUGAAUGAUACAUUCCCUUUUUGGUUGGAGAAAUUGCCUUACUUGACGGUUCUAAUAUUGCGGGAAAACAGAUUUUAUGGUCAAAUUAAACAUUUCAAACAUAAAUCUGUUUUCCCAACUUUGGAUGUAUUGGACAUUGCUUCAAACCAGUUUUCUGGUGAACUAUCCAUUGAUUUCCUUCAACCCACUAGACUAAGGUCACUCAAAAUAGGUGGGAAUAAAUUGGAAGGGAAGCUGUCGAGAUCAUUAGCCAAUUGCACAGCACUUGAGGUUCUGGACCUUGGAAAUAAUAUGGUUCAUGAUACAUUCCCAUUUUGGUUAGAGAAGCUACCUUCCUUGAAGGUUCUCAUUUUGCGAGCAAACAGAUUCUACGGCACAAUUACAGAAUUCAACACAGAACGUGGGUUUCCAAAGCUACGCAUUUUGGACAUUGGUUCCAACAAAUUUUCAGGCGACUUGUCCGUUGAAUUUUUGCAAAGCUUGAAGGCAAUGAUGCAGAUAACAAAUGAGGAUAAAGCUAAGCGGGUUUACAUUGGGGACGACUAUUAUCAAGACUCUGUGACAAUUGUUAACAGAGGGAUUGAAAUGUUCUACCAAAGAGUCUUGACAAUUCUUACUUGUCUUGACCUUUCCAACAAUAGUUUCCAUGGGAGAAUACCAGAAGAAAUACAAAUGCUGAGGUCACUCAGAGUGAUGAACUUAUCCAACAAUGGCUUCUCUAGUGAAAUCCCAUUAGCACUUCAAAAUCUAAAAGACCUCGAAUCUUUGGAUCUCUCAAGAAACAAGCUGUCAGGGAAGAUUCCUCCACAACUUACAAGUCUAACUUUCCUGGCAGCAUUGAACUUGUCAUACAACCAACUUGAAGGGAGCAUACCACAAAGCAACCAAUUCAUUACAUUUACAAAUGAUUCCUACCGUGGGAACCCAAAAUUGUGUGGGCUGCCAUUGUCAAGGAAAUGCAAUGAAGUUGGUCUUCCAAUGCCACCACCUCCAGUGGAAGAUGAAGAUUCAUGGUUAAAUGCUCUGUCUACUUGGAAAAUUGCAUUGAUAGGUUAUGCUAGCGGAUUAGUCGUUGGGCUAUGUAUUGGAUAUACAGUGCUGAAUGAGUUGGGAAACAAAUGGGUUUACAAGUUCAAGUGUGGGAAAAGAAAUAGAAGAAGAUGUAGGUGACUCCAUCAGAAUUCUUGCUUCAAAAUUAGCUGGUAAGCAUUUGUCUUUCUACUUUGAACUGAUAGUUGUUGAUAUAUAUAUAUAUAGGUUUUCAUAACCUCAUUUUUUGCUGUCAUUACCAAGUUCACUAUCAUAUCGUACUUGUAAUUUUAUGUUACCAUUGAGCAAUGCAGGAGGUACUUGAAGCAGGACAUGGAAUGUACAGUUGUGAGGUUCAUGAAGAAUGUAGGCAAUGAUCCUAACAAGAUCAAUCCACUGGUUUGUAAUUUUGCUUUAUAUGCACUUUUUUCCUGUUGUAGUUUUCUAUGAGUAUAAAUAAGUGUUUAUUCAUUUUGCAUCCAGGUCCCUGUGGAUUUGGGGGAUGCAAUGUUUCACUGCUACUGAAUUUCCAAGCUAAUAAUGAUAUUAUAAACAGGGAAAUGGCUGCCCAAGCUUUCUUUUAUAUGCAAUUUACUUCAAUUUUUUUAUCUUUAGAAUAUUUGUACAGCUGAGGAGAUUUGAUGGCAUGAUGUUGAUGAAAGCCAUAUCUGAUGGACAUUGGACUGAUUGUGUAAAGAGACGCAGAUGCUGCUACUCCCAUCCUUUGCUCUUCCAAACAGACGUGAGUUUUAUAUUUUAUGAAUCACGUGUUGGGCUUUAGGACCGGGUGUAAAGGGUGGACCUGUUGGUCCGGGUUUUAGUUCAGCCCGUCACUUAUUUUUAUACUAGUUUAUUUAUACUUUCAAUGAUAGUUUUAUUAAUUUAAAAAAUAUGGUUGAAUUAAGUAAUAAUAUGAUAAAAUAAUAAUAAUUAAAAUUUAAUGAAAUAAAUUAUGUCUUAACUUUCCAAUGUUAGCGAAAGGCCAACAAUAUCUCACCUUAUUAUUUUCUUUGUUAAUCCAAAAUUAAAAAGUUCAAAUUAGAAUGUGAUUUAGAGUUUGAAGACUUAAUUAAAUUUUUUUGAAGUUUAGAGUUCAAUUUAACAUAUAAUCCAUAGUUUAGGGACAUCAAGUGAAUUAACCCUUUGAUAAAUCCUAACAUAUUCAUAAGUUGCAUACUCAUUAAUAAAUUAGGACUAAAAUGCUUAUUGGUAAAUUGAUUUCACAUAUAAGUUAAUAUAUUUUUGGGUGCUAUACCAAAGUUUAAUUAAAAGAUUUUAAUGGUACACUUUUACAUUUUAAAAAUUUAAAUUAUAUAUAAACAAUUAUGAUAUAAAAUCGAGACGGCCCACAUCUAAAAUAUUUUAAGCAUCAAAUACAUGAAAAAAAAAAUUCUAAACCCAAAUAUUUUAAGCAUUCGAAACAUUGGCAUUGGCAUCAAUUAGAACACUUGGAUUGGAUAAUGAAAAAAAAAAAAUCCAAACCCAUCUAUUUAACAACGGUAUGUUUAUUAUAUGAUUUUCAAUACAAAAUCAGAUAAUUAAUCGGACACUGUUGAGUUAACUAAUACUUACAAUGUUCAAUUAAAUGAUUUUUUCCAAAAAAAAUUAAUUGUUUAUAUUUCGAAUCCAAUUCAACCAAUAAAAAGCCAGUUAUAUUUGAAUGCGAAUGCAAAGCAGUGGAUAUAACGUAAGGGACUCAAUCCAAUUUGGCAUUCUAAAUGAUGUCUUAAUUACAAUGUGGUACGCUUUCCAGAGUUGGCAAACAACCUAAAGCACUUGUUUAAUUUAUCUUUGAAAAGUGAUAAAAAUAUUAAUAACUAAAAUUAAAAAACUGCAAGAACCAUUAUCUUUCACAAAUUAUUCAAAAUCAUAUGGUAUUUGUAGUCGUUGGCUUAUAUUUUGAAAAGAUUGAUGUUACAAACUAACUCUGAAUUUCCUAAGCUUAUUUUUUGUCCCUUGACACACUUCGCUAUCAUAUGGUAUUUGUAGUCGUAGGCUUGUAGCAUUGACAUUCAUUUUAUCAUUUCGCAAUGCAAGAGGUACUGAAACAGGCUAAGCUGAAACGGCUCAUUAGGUUUGCUACUCCAAAAGACUCUUCGAAAAGAGCAAUGAAAGAAGCGACAAAAGGGUCCUUGGCUGUUUGUGAUGAUGCACUUACAUAUACUCACUUCUAUACGAUUCAUGUAAAUCCUUUCUAUAACUUAUUUCCUAGGAAGCAUUCCUCUAUUAGAGCAACUAAUCCAUAAUUCUUAAAUCCAGAUACUGUAAUUGGUUUUUUUUUUUUUUCUCUCGAUUUUGUAGCAGGGGCCAAACUCCCCAAUGUCUUGGCUACCAAUCUUCUUUAAUUUAAUCGAACUCAUUUAUGGUAAGGAUGAGUUUUGGAAUGCUCUAUGAAUAUUGUGAGUUGAACAUGAGCAGCAUACUUGAUAUGCAAAAUCUAAUAUCAAGAAUCUCCCUUGUGAGGUUCAUUUUUGCUUCAAUUCACAGCCAUUUGGGGUACGUAAUUUGUCUCUAGCACUGAACUUUCAUGCCAAAUAAUGCUAUAUUAUAAACAAGGAUCAUGGCUUUUCCAAGCCUUCUUUAAUAUGAAUUUACUCUUUAGUUCAGAAUUUUAUUUUCAAAUUAUUUUUGUGCAGCUUGGAAGAUAAUAUGACGAGUUGAUGUUGAUGAAAGCCACAUUUAACACCGUGAUUCUGCAAAGAGACACCACUGCUAGAUGUGCCUCUUUGAAACAGGACAAGCUCAAGCAAAGAUCGUUAACUUUAUCUUUGAAAACAAUGGUAAAAGUUUCUAACUAAUUAUCUUUUCCUUGACAUCUUCUUUAAUCAUGCUUGAAUUAAGUUUAAGCAUAUGAAAGACAUGAUUGUUGGUAGAUAAAUGAGAAGCUUCAUGUUCUAAUUUUCAGGCUAAUGGUCUAAGAAGACAGUAAGGCGUGUUGAUUGCAGUUUGUUAUCUAUUCUAUGGAAAAGAAAACGUGCAUUGCCAACAUAAAGUACAGAAAGGAUAUGCAUAAGGUGCAAAGGCUUAUCACCGAAGCAAGUCUACAGCUUGUUUAAGGCGGCUCAUGUUCUCUUACAUGUAAUUUGCAUGAAAUCUUAUUAUCUUAGGAUUAUACUGGAGUGCCACCAGCAGUUGACCUCACUAGCAUGUGAGACACUGUUAAGAAUCUUGACAAUGAUCUUAACAAGAUUAUUCCACUAGUUUGUAAUUUUCCCUCUAUAUUUUACCAGUAGUAUAUAACUUAUUUACUUCUAUAUCUUGCAAUUUAUGCAGCCCCCGAGCAUGGUAUAGCUUGGUGUUGGUAGAUUCACAUUGUCCAAGAACUUACAAGAUGUUGAGAAAGCAUAGUGUUGGCAAAAUUUUUGAGUUUUAUGGUUAAGUCUAUGAUCAUAAAUCUUAAGAAUAGAAUGAUUUUACUAUAAAAAAUUUCAGGUUUAUAGGACUUUAUCAUCAAUGUAACUAUUUUUAAUGUGGUUAUAGGAGAGGGUGUGGCUGAAUUAUCAUUAGCUAAUCAUGGUCGAGCCAUAGUUGCAGACAUGGGACCUGAAUAAUGUGCAACCAUGGGUUGUCUUUCCUGUGGAUCAUACAGCCUUGCAAUUCCUUAAUUUAACCAGCAGGAGUGGUGACACAGUUCAUUCUCCGUCCAUUUUAUGCGUGGUGAUGACUCCAACAAGGUUUUAUGUUAUUAUUGCUACUAUUUUGUCUUUUUAAUAAUUUAGAUAUAAGAACAUUUUCAUAUAUAUAUAGAAUAAGGAUGAGACAGAAGGACUAAAAUACUGGCAUCAAUAACAACACUAAGACCAAUAAAAUCUCAUAUUUCAAAAUUAGAAUUGAAAAAAAAUAUAAAAGAUUGAAGAUGCAAAGCAAAUAAAUUAAGUGUGAAUUGAAAACCUUAAUGCUAAGACUAAGAAUAAAUAAUUCAUCCCUUAAGACUAAUAGCUUCAUCAUCAUCCUUUGCUGCGAUAUGACUCUGGCUUGAAUUUAAAGAAGCAAAUAUGAAGUACUCAUCAUGCGAGAGAAAAUUACUUAGCUAAGAGAAGAAAUCAUUUACUUCAACCAAACUAUCCCCGGUAGAAAUAAAAGCCAAAAGAAUUAGAUUCAUUCAAAACAAAAAAUUGUAGGGAUUAGUUUUAUAAUUUUACUUAAAUUUUCAUUUCAUCAGGAGGACGUGGGUUCGAAUAUGUUGAAGUGCAUUAUGCUCCUAUUUAUGGGUUGGGGAGAGACUAAGCGUAGUUUUAGGCAUUGUAUCAAAAAAAAAAGAUUUGAUCAGAACCUAUAAUGUGAAAAGUUGUUACUAAAAAGUUUAAAAAAUAGAAUUUUUAGUUUCCUUUUGUUUAUUUAUUAUUUUUUUCAUAAUAUCUUUUAUCUAUAUUUGAAGUGUUUUGGGUUUAAUUUUUAAUCAUUAUAAUCAAAAACCCAAUUUUGUACUAAUAAAGCACACCAUUGUUAGUUUUUAGUGUUAUUUUUGAGGUAUUAUAUAUUUGUAUUUGACCUAUGUUUAUAAUGGUGAUCAGACCCGUUUUUAAUAUUUUUGAGACCCUAGGCGAAACAAUAAAUCGGGGUCUUGUUUAAAAAAUUAUUAAAUGUAAUACAAAAAAAUGAACCUUUUUUAUUUUAUAUUUUUUCUGCCUGCAAUAAAUCAAAAGACUAAAAAAGUUAAAAAAAUUUCACGUUAAAAAUUAAAAAAAGAAACUUUUUGCCCUAAAGUUGGGCUGACGGAGACUAGAAAACAACCCAACAAAUUCCAAUAAAAUCUCAUACUACAAAAUUGGAAUUAACAAAUGGAAAAACAAAAAGACAUUGGUAAAGCAAAAUAAGUGUGAAACAUGAACAAAUUGACAUGAAGACUAAGAAGAGAGUAUGAAAAAUUUUAAAAUUGUAAUUUAGGAUGACUUUAAAAUAUGGGGAAGAUUCAUGAAAAUUAAAUGGGCCUGAAAUCAAUGAUUUUGCAGUUUCUCUUUGUUGAUUUGGUGGAUGUUUCCCACUACUUUUAAUGGUUCCAAUUAUAUACUUGGAAAUUGGAAUUACUUUUGCCACUCAUUUCUCAUGUUGGUUUGGCCAAUAAAAGAUUAUUUGCAUAAAGCAACAAUGCGGCAAUAGGCUGCAAUAUUUCCACAUGCCUCUCAAACUUUUUACUCCAAUUUUAAGGAUUUUUUUUAUUUUUUAAAAAUUAACAUAUUUUUCUACCUUUCUUCUUUCUCUUCUCAUCCUCUCUUUCUCAAUCUCACCUCCCCAAAAAAUGCAAAAUAAAAAAAAUUAUUUUAAUUUUUAAAAAAUAUAAAUUUUGGAAUUUUUAUGAAUUUUUUGAAUUUUUUGAAAAGUAUUUUAAAUUAUUUUGUAAUUUUUGUUGAGAGAUAUCAAUUUGUUAAAUUUUAAAAUUGACAAUGACCAAAGGAGCAUGUACACCAAUUUAUUGUAUGAAUUGUUCGGGUUAUUUAAAUUAUAAAAUUCAACUCGAAAAUCAAAUUAUAAAUAUUUUUAAUAUUAUAAAACAUAAAAAUAUUAAGAUUAAAUAAUAAUAUAGAAAAGGAAUUUUUUUUCUCCAAAUUUCUCAUCCAAAUACAGUCUAAGAAAGCUUGAAAGCUGAAAUUUAAAAAUAUUAUUAUCUUAACUCGAUUUAAAAUUUUUUUGAGUCAAGUCGAGUGCAAAGAAAUUAGAGUUGAAUUGAAUCGAGUGAAAUUGUUUGAGUUAAACUAAAAAUUUUAAUAUGUCAAAUUGAAAUAUUUUUAUGGUAUAAUUAAUUUUAUGUUAGAGCACAUAAAUUUGAAACCAUAUAUAUAUAUUUGAAAACUUUUGUUGAAAAUUUUUAAUAAUAUAAACUCGAAACUUGAAUUAUAAAAAUAUUUAAUAAUAUAAAACAUAAAAAAUAUUAAAAUUAAAUAAUAAUAUAGAAAUAAAAAUUUUUCUUCAAAUUUCUCAUCCAAAUACAGUCUAGAAAAGUUUUAAAGAUGAAAUUUAAAUAUGUUUGUUUCAAAAGUGGAAAAUUCUAUAUAUUGAAUCAUCAAAAUUUUCACUUAUUGUGUUCAUCAAUCCAGCGAAGACUUAACUUGUACACAUUUCUUUGAUAAAUUAUAACUUAUUUACAAAUUCGAUACUCAUUAACAAAUUGAUAUUAUAUUUUAAGUUAAAUUAUUUUAAAUUAUUUUGUAAUUUUUGUUGAGAGAUAUCAAUUUGUUAAUUUUUAAAAUUAAUAGGGACUAAAGGAGUAUGUAUAUCAAUUUGUUGUUUGAAUUAUUUGUGUUUUUCAUCAUAAAAUUCAACUCGAAACUGGAAUUGUAAACAUAAAGAGAGCCUAAGCCUAAGGUCAUGCAAUCUUACUGAAUUUCCAGAAUUCAUUAAAAGGCAACCCAAGUUGGUUGACUUAGAUCUUUCUAAUAACCAUAUCCAUGGUUUUGUGCCCAAUUGGUUGUGGAAGAGCAGUCUUUCAUGGGUAGACCUUUCUUUCAAUGUGAUUGAUUUUCCAAAACAGCUUCCCUUAAAUGAUGCAAACUUCUCAUUUCCAAUGUUGGCAGACUUGGAUUUGAGAUCCUGCAACAUAAGUGCGUUUCCAGAGUUCAUCAAAACACAAGACAAGUUGGUUGACUUAGAUCUUUCUAACAAUCAUAUCCAUGGUGUUGUGCCUAAUUGGUUCUGGAAGAGCAGCCUUUCAAGGGUAAACCUUUCUUUCAAUGUGAUUGAUUUUCCAAAACAACUUCCCUUAAAUGAUGCAAACUUCUUAUUUCCAAUGUUGACAGGAUUGGAUUUGAGAUCCUGUAACAUAAGUGCGUUUCCAGAGUUCUUAAAGAGUCAAAAAAAUUUAGAAGAAUUCGACGCAUCUUAUAACAAUUUGAGUGGCCCAAUUCCAAAUUGGUUAUGCAAUAUGAGUCUACUUUACACUUUCGAUGCAUCUUAUAACAAUUUGAGUGGCUCAAUUCCAAAUUGCUUGGUCAAUAUGAGUCAACUUGAAACUUUCGAUGUAUCUUAUAACAAUUUGAGUGGCCCAAUUCCAAAUUGCUUGGGCAAUAUGAGUGCUCUGAUUUUGUUGGGUUUGCAAGGAAAUAACUUCAGUGGAAUGUUACCAAAAUUUUCAACAGCAACCCAACUGCAAUUUCUGAAAGUUAGUGAGAAUAGAUUGGAAGGGAAAGCAAAGGCACGGCGGUGGUCACGCUGGUCGUGGUGGCGCGACGGCGAUCAGGGCCCUUUCGCUGCUGCUUUCUUGACCCUUUUUUUGCUUCUUUUUUUUUGCGAAAAAAACUGAAACCCCCCCUUCUCUUCAAUUUUUCUUUUUAAUCCCUCCAAAAUUGUCUUCUUCCUCUUUGUUUUUAGGUGACAGGGGAAGAAAAUCAUGGCCUAGGGAGCUGCCGGAGUAGCUGGAAGUGGCAGGAGCAUGCUUGGAUGCCGAUUGGGUGAUUUGACAAGUCCAGAAGGACCAAAAUGUAGAAGACACAAAAUAUUUGGGGUAAAAAUGUGAUUUGGGGAAAAUAUAGGGCCAAGAUGUAAUUUUUUGAAAUUUUAAGGGUCAAAGUGUAAUUUACAAAAUAUUAGGGGUCAAUAUAUAAUUUUUGAAAAAUUUAGGGGCUAAAAUGUAAUUUAUUUUUUUGUAUUUUUUCAAAGUUUUAUUAUUACUAUUAAUAUUUAAAACAUAAAUUAAAAAUGGACUAAGACAAUUCCAAUAUUAAAUCCUAAUGGGCCCAAUCAUUGGGCCCAUACGAGGCCGACCCGGCCCAAAAUUCUAACCGGGCAAAAUUUAGUGAUUACAGUUAUUUUUGUGCAAUCAAAAUUUGGACAUUUGCAUGCAAUGCCAAAGACUUAAGAUAUUUCAUACUAUCAUUUUUCCCGAUCCAAAGUUAAAGAUAUUAAAAAUUUUAAAUUAGAAUGUUAUUUAUAAUUUGAGAAUUUGAGAUAGAAGGUGAAUUAACACUUUGAUAAAUCAUAACAUAUUUAUAAGAUGGAUACUCAUUAACAAGUUGAUUUUAUAUUAUAAGUUAAAUUUUAUUUUUUUUGGUGUUAUAACAAAAUUACCUUAGAAGAUUACAUUGUAAUUUUUUUAUUUUAAAAAAUGAUGUAGAAAUAAUUAUGUAUAACAUAAAAAAUGAUAAAGUUUGGCCAAGUUUAAAAUAUUUGUAACAUAAUUUUUUCUACAAAGUCCAUACUUAAUAUAUAUAAUUUAAACUUAAAAUCUCGGUUGAAGUAUUAUCUUUGCUUAUUUUAUACGUAGUGACGGUUCCAAUAAGAUUUAAAGUACAUUAUUAUUACUAUAAAUUUGUCUUUUUUAAUGACUUAGAUAUAGAAGAUUAUUUAUAUAGACUAAGGAGUGGGCAAGAAAACUAAAACCUCGGCAUUAAUAAGAAAAAUGACAUCAAUAAUAUAUUAAAAUCUCAUUCUUCAAAAUCAAUAAUAUAUUAUUCUUUAAUAAUAUAUUAAAACGCAAAUUAAAUGUGAAUUUAACAACUUAUUUCUAAUACUAACAACAAAUAAUUUAUGCUAUAAAUUAUUUAUUAUUAGUAUUAUUAUUAUUAUCCCUUGCUGGAAAAGGUUAACCAAAAAGACUUAGCUAAAGUGGUGGAACAUUAUUUUGAUGCAGUAUUGACUGGGCAAAAAGACUUGGAAAUUGCGUGCUAUGCCAAACAUGAAAACUACACAUUUGUGUAUAAAUAAGUUGUAUGCCAAGCACAAUCCUUCUUCACACCCAACAAACAUGAACACUCUUCAUUUCCUUAUUUCACUCUUCCUCUUCUCAUGCGUCCUUUCUCUUGUCAUGUCUUUUUCACCUCCUCAAACUCAUCUCCCUAAGCAAUGCCUUGAUGAUCAGAGAGCUCCUCUCCUGCAAUUGCAGCGUCAUCUUUACUGUGCCCCUAAUUUUACUUUCUCUUCCAAAUUUGACCUCUGGGAUGUCAACACUGAUUGUUGUUCUUGGGAAGGAGUCACUUGUGAUGCUUAUGGUCAUGUCGUUGGCAUUGAUCUUAGCAAUAAAAACCUUUCAGGCAGGUUUCACCCCAUAUUCAAUCUCCAUCGUCUUCAACACCUUAAUCUUGCUGGAAACAACUUUAAUACCACUAUGUUUUCCCAUGGGUUUCACAAACUCCAAAAUCUAACCCAUCUCAAUCUUUCAAGCUCAUGUUUCCAUGGCCAAAUUCCAGUGGAGAUCUCAUACUUAACGAGGUUAGUGUCUCUUGAUCUAUCUAAUCAAGGUUCUUGUUAUUUGCGAUACUACGCCAUUCUUGACCCAUAUAGAGGCGUCUACACCUACAAUGAUCCAUUGCCUUACGAACUUCAACAGCCUCUUAAAUUAGAGAAUCCAAACUUCAAGACAUUAAUCAAGAAUUUGAGGUUUCUCACAGAGCUUUAUUUGGAUGGGGUAAACAUUUCAACUCAAAGUGCUAAAUGGUGUGAAACCACAUCUCUUGUACUUUCCAACCUGCGUGUGUUGAGUCUGUCAAACUGUGGUUUGAAAGGUCCAUUAUGUUCUUCACUCUCAAGACUCUCUUUUCUUUCCAAACUUAUCCUUGAUGGGAACCCAAUCUCUUAUUUACCUCCCAAUUUCUUGGAAAUUUCCUCUCGUUUGGUUUCUCUCAGUUUGAGGAACUGCUAUUUGAGUGGCCAUUUUCCAACUGAAAUUCUCUUAUCGCCAAAAAUUCAAAGCAUUGACAUUUCAUUGAACCACCAACUUAUGGGUCAGUUGCCAGAAUUUCCAGCAAACAAUGCAUUACUGAGUCUGUCACUUUAUUUUACAAAUUUCAGUGGAAAACUGCCUGAAUCGAUUGGUAAUCUUAAGUUCCUGACAAAUUUAGAGCUUUCUUAUUGCAAUUUUUUUGGACCUAUUCCAUCGUCAAUUACGAAUCUUAGUCACCUGGUCAACCUAUAUCUGGGAGGGAACAUGCUUUCUGGAUCAAUACAUUCUUCUUUAUUCACUCUUCCAUCAUUAAAGACCCUGUCUCUUGGAGAAAAUCACUUGGUUGGGAAAAUUGAUGAGUUCCCCAAUGCAUCUUCUUCUUUGAUUCAAGAACUAUAUAUAGGCAAUAAUUAUUUAACAGGACCAAUCCCAAAGUCAAUCCUUCAACUUCCAAGGCUUGAAUGGCUUUAUAUUGAAAGCAAUAGCUUCAGUUCCAUGAAGCUUGACAUGUUUGUCCAACUCAAGAACUUGAGGUAUCUGACUCUGUUCAACACAAGCUUGUUAAUUGAAAGCGACAGCAGAAGUCUUCCUUUUCCACAAUUAGAGAGCCUAACCCUAAGGUCAUGCAACCUUACUGAAUUUCCAGAAUUCAUUAAAAGGCAAGACAAGUUGGUUGACCUCGAUCUUUCUAACAGCCAUAUCCAUGGUUUUGUGCCCAAUUGGUUGUGGAAGAGCAGUCUUUCAUGGGUAGACCUUUCUUUCAAUGUGAUUGAUUUUCCAAAACAGCUUCCCUUGAAUGAUGCAAACUUCUCAUUUCCAAUGUUGAAAGAAUUGCGUUUGAGAUCCUGUAACAUAAGUGCGUUUCCAGAGUUCAUCAAAACACAAGACAAGUUAGUUGUGUUAGAUCUUUCUAACAACCAUAUCCAUGGUGUUGUGCCUAAUUGGUUGUGGAAUAGCUCUCUUUCAGGGGCAAACCUUUCUUUCAAUGUGAUUGAUUUUCCAAAACAGCUUCCCUUAAGUGAUUUAAACUUCUCUUUUUCAAUGUUGAGGGAAUUGUAUCUGGAAUCUUGUAACAUAAGAUCAUUUCCAGAGUUCUUAAAGAGUCAAGAAAAUUUAGAAUAUCUCGAUCUUUCAAAUAAUAAAAUAAGUGGUGCAAGUCCAAACUGGGUGUGGAAGAAAAGUUUGCGGUAUCUGUUUCUUGCAAAUAACCAUCUCUCAUCUUUGGACCAACUUUUACCCAAUCAGAGUUCAACUUCUUCACAAGACUCUUUCUAUUUCGACGCAUCUUAUAACAAUUUGAGUGGCCCAAUUCCAAAUUGGUUAUGCAAUAUGAGUCAACUUCGCGGUUUUGAUGCAUCUUAUAACAAUUUGAGUGGCUCAAUUCCAAAUUGCUUGAACAAUAUGAGUCAACUUGAAACUUUCGAUGUAUCCUAUAACAAUUUGAGUGGCCCAAUUCCAAAUUGCUUUGGCAAUAUGAGUGCUCUGAUUUGGUUGAUUUUGCAAGGAAAUAACUUCAGUGGAAUGUUACCAAAAUUUUCAAAAGCAACCCACGUAUAUAUUCUGAAAGUUAGUGAGAAUAGAUUGGAAGGGAAGUUGCCCAGAUCAUUAGCUGAAUGCACUCAGCUUGAAGUUUUGGACGUGGGAAACAACAAGAUGAAUGAUACAUUCCCUUUUUGGUUGGAGAAAUUGCCUUACUUGACGGUUCUAAUAUUGCGGGAAAACAGAUUUUAUGGUCAAAUUAAACAUAGAUUUGUUUUCCCAACUUUGGAUGUGUUGGACAUUGCUUCAAACCAGUUUUCUGGUGAACUAUCCAUUGAUUUCCUUCAACCCACUCGACUAAGGUCACUCAAAAUUGGUGGGAAUAAAUUGGAAGGGAAGUUGUCGAGAUCAUUAGCCAAUUGUACAGCACUUGAGGUUCUGGACCUCGGAAAUAAUAUGGUUCAUGAUACAUUCCCAUUUUGGCUAGAGAAGCUACCUUCCUUGAAGGUUCUCGUUUUGCGAGCAAACAGAUUCUACGGCACAAUUUCAAAAAUCGACACGGAGCGUGGGUUUCCAAAGCUACGCAUAUUGGACAUUGGUUCCAAUCAUUUUUCAGGUGACUUGUCCAUUGAAUUUUUGCAGAGUUUGAAGGCAAUGGCGAAGAUGACUAAGGACGAAAAGGUUAAGCGGGUUUACAUUGGGGACGUCUAUUAUAAAGAUUCUGUGACAAUUGUUAACAGGGGGGUUGAACUAUUUUACCAAAAAAUCUUAACUGUUCUUACUUGUCUUGACCUUUCCAACAAUAGUUUCCAUGGGAGAAUACCAGAAGAGAUACAAAUGCUGAGGUCACUCAGAGUGAUGAACUUAUCCAACAAUGGCUUUUCUGGUGAAAUCCCAUUAGCACUUGAAAAUCUAAAAGAUCUUGAAUCUUUGGAUCUCUCACAGAAUGAGCUGUCAGGGAAGAUUCCUGCACAACUUACAAGUUUAACUUUCUUAGCAGCAUUGAAUUUGUCUUACAACCUACUUGAAGGGAGCAUACCGCAAGGCAACCAAUUCAGUACAUUUUCAAAUGAUUCUUACCGUGGGAAUCCAAAAUUAUGCGGUCCACCAUUGUCCAAGAAAUGCAAUGAAGUUGGUCUUCCAAAGCCACCACCUCUAGGGGAAGAUGAAGAUUCAUGGUGAUAUGCUGUGUCUACUUGGAAAAUUGCGUUGAUAGGUUAUGCUAGUGGAUUAGUCGUUGGGCUAUGUAUUGGAUAUACAGUGCUGAAUGAGUUGGGAAACAAAUGGGUUGACAAGUUCAAAAAGUGUGGGAAAAGAAAUAGGAGGAGAUGUAGGUGACUCCAUCAGAAUUCUUGCUUCAAAAUUAGCUGGUAAGCAUUUGUCUUUCUAAUUUGAACAGAUAGUUGUUGAUAUAUAUAUAGGUUUUCAUAACCUCAUUUUUUGCUGUCUUUACCAAGUUCACUAUCAUACCGUACUUGUAAUUUUAUGUUACCAUUGAGGUACAUGAAUAAUCUAGGCAGUGAUCCUAACAAUGAUCCUAACAGCUGAGGAGAUUUGAUGGCUUGAUGCUGAUGAAAGCUUUUUCUGAUGGACAUUGGACUGAUUGUGUCAAGAGAUGCAGAUGUUGCUACUCCCACCCUUUGCUCUUCCAAAGAGACAUUAGCUUUAUAUUUUAUCAAUCACGUGUUGGGGUUUAGGAUCGGGUGUAAAGGGUGGACCUAUUGGUCCGGGUUUUAGUUCAACCCGACACUUAUUUUUAUACUAGUUUAUUUAUAGUUUCAGUGAUAGUUUUAUUAAUUUUAAAAAUAUAGUUGAAUUAGAUAAUAAUAUGAUAAAAAUAAAAAUAAAAAUAAAAAUUGUCACAGGGGCCUUUCAGUUUCGACGCAUCUUCUAACAAUUUGAGUGGCCCAAUUCCAAAUUGGUUAUGCAAAAUGAGUCGACUCGGCCGUUUUGAUGUAUCUUAUAACAGUUUGAGUGGCCCAAUUCCGAAUUGCUUGGGCAAUAUGAGUGCUCUCUAUUCGUUGGAUCUGCAAGGAAAUAACUUCAGUGGAAUGAUGCCAAAAUUUUCAAAAGCAACCCAACUGUCGUUUCUCAAAGUUAGUGAGAAUAGAUUGGAAGGGAAGUUGCCCAGAUCAUUAGCUGAAUGCACUCAGCUUGAAGUUUUGGACGUGGGAAGCAACAAGAUGAAUGAUACAUUCCCUUUUUGGUUGGAGAAAUUGCCUUACUUGACGGUUCUAAUAUUGCGGGAAAACAGAUUUUAUGGUCAAAUUAAACAUUUCAAACAUAAAUCUGUUUUCCCAACUUUGGAUGUAUUGGACAUUGCUUCAAACCAGUUUUCUGGUGAACUAUCCAUUGAUUUCCUUCAACCCACUCGACUAAGGUCACUCAAAAUAGGUGGGAAUAAAUUGGAAGGGAAGCUGUCGAGAUCAUUAGCCAAUUGCACAGCACUUGAGGUUCUGGACCUUGGAAAUAAUAUGGUUCAUGAUACAUUCCCAUUUUGGUUAGAGAAGCUACCUUCCUUGAAGGUUCUCGUUUUGCGAGCAAACAGAUUCUACGGCACAAUUUCAAAAAUUGACACGAAACGUGGGUUUCCAAAGCUACGCAUAUUGGACAUUGCUUCCAACAAUUUUUCAGGUGACUUGUCUAUUGAAUUUUUGCAGAGUUUGAAGGCAAUGGCGGAGAUGACUAAUGAUGAAAAGGCUACGCUGGAUUAUAUCGGAGAGAAUUAUUAUCAAGACUCUGUGACAAUUGUUAACAGAGGGAUUGAAAUGUUGUACCAAAAAGUCUUGACAAUUCUUACUUGUCUUGACCUUUCCAACAAUAGUUUCCAUGGGAGAAUACCAGAAGAGAUACAAAUGCUGAGGUCACUCAGAGUGAUAAACUUAUCCAACAAUGGCUUUUCUGGUGAAAUCCCAUUAGCACUUGAAAAUCUAAAAGAUCUUGAAUCUUUGGAUCUCUCACAGAAUGAGCUGUCAGGGAAGAUUCCUGCACAACUUACAAGUUUAACUUUCCUGGCAGCAUUGAACUUGUCAUGCAACCAACUUGAAGGGAGCAUACCACAAAGCAACCAAUUCAUUACAUUUACAAAUGAUUCCUACCGUGGGAACCCAAAAUUGUGUGGGCUGCCAUUGUCAAGGAAAUGCAAUGAAGUUAGUCUUCCAAUGCCACCACCUCCAGGGGAAGGUGAAGAUUCAUGGUUAAAUGCUCUGUCUACUUGGAAAAUUGCGUUGAUAGGUUAUGCUAGUGGAUUAAUCGUUGGGCUAUGUAUUGGAUAUACAGCGCUGAAUGAGUUGGGAAACAAAUGGGUUGACAAGUUCAAAAAGUGUGGGAAAAGAAAUAGAAGAAGAUGUAGGUGACUCCGUCAGAAUUUUUGCUUCAAAAUUAGCUGGUAAGCAUUUGUCUUUCUAAUUUGAACAGAUAGUUGUUGAUAUAUAUAUGUAUAUAUAUAGGUUUUCAUAACCUCAUUUUUUGUUGUCAUUACCAACUUCACUAUCAUAUCGUACUUGUAAUUUGAUGUUACCAUUGAGCAAUGCAGGAGGUACUUGAAGUAGGAAAUGGAAUGUACAGUUGUGAGGUUCAUGAAGAAUGUAGGCAAUGAUCCUAACAAGAUCAAUCCACUGGUUUGUAGUUUUGCUUUAUAUGCACUUUUUUCCUGUUGUAGUUUUCUAUGAGUAUAAAUAAGUGUUUAUUCAUUUUGCAUCCAGGUCCCUGUGGAUUUGGGGGAUGCAAUGUUUCACUGCUACUGAAUUUCCAUGCUAAUAAUGAUAUUAUAAACAAGGAAAUGUCUGCCCAAGCUUUCUUUUAUAUGCAAUUCACUUCAAUUUUUUUAUCUUCAGAAUAUUUGUACAGCUGAGGAGAUUUGAUGGCAUGAUGUUGGUGAAAGCCAUAUUUGACGGACAUUGGACUGAUUGUGUAAAGAGACGCAGAUGCUGCUACUCCCAUCCUUUGCUCUUCCAAACAGACAUGAGUUUUAUAUUUUAUGAAUCACGUGUUGGGCUUUAGGACCGGGUGUAAAGGGUGGACCUGUUGGUCCGGGUUUUAGUUCAGCCCGUCACUUAUUUUUAUACUAGUUUAUUUAUACUUUCAAGGAUAGUUUUAUUAAUUUUAAAAAUAUGGUUGAAUUAAGUAAUAAUAUGAUAAAAAUAAUAAAAAUAAUAAAAAUUUUAUCAAAUAAAUUAUUUCUUAAAAUCUAGUAUGCUUUCCAAUGUUAGCCAAAGGCCAACAAUAUCUCACACUAAUAUUUUCUUUGUUAGUCCAAAAUUAAAAAUUUCAAAUUAGGAUGUAACUUAUAGUUUGAGGGCUUAAUCAAAAUUUUUUUUAAAAAUUUAGAAAUCAAUUUAAAAUUUAAUCCAUAAUUUAAGGAAUUAACCUUUUGGUAAAUCCUAACAUAUUCAGAAGUUCCAUACUCAUUAAUAAAGAGUGAACCUGUUGGUCUAGGUUUUAUGUUAAUUUUAUCACGAAAUUUUAAUUUUAUUUCAUUUUAGUCCCGUGAGAAACGGUGCGCAUAAGGGCAAGGUAUAUUCUCCUAUUCGGUCCCUAUUCUUUUUAGCAUGUUAUAUUUUAAUUCUUAUUAGCCUUUUUUAUUUACAAUUUAUACUCCUUAAUUUUAUUCCGAUUUCAAUAUGAUCCUUAGUUUAUUUAACUUCAAUUUUUUUUACAAACUGUUUCAUUUAUUAUUUAUUUAUUUAUUUUCAAUUUUUAAUAAAAUGUUUUAUUGGUAGUCACCUUUUUAUUUAUUUAUUUACUUAUUGCUUCCUUUGUUUUUUAUUUUUAAUUGGCUUGCUUUUUGUAUUUUCCUUUUAUUGUGCAUUUUUUGGCGGCACUUACCACAAAGCGCCGCAAAUAGUAAGCAUUAGCGGCGUUUUGAAAUAAGUGCCACUAACUCUAAUAUACGUCAAGGCCAAACUCUGCGUUUUGGUUAGGAUACUUUGCGGCGCUUUCCACAAGCGCCGCUACUACUAUAGUUUAGCGGCGUUUUCCAAUAAGCGCCACUAAUUCUAAUAUACCUCAAGACCAAACUCCGCGUUUUGGUUAAGAUAUUUUGAGGCGCUUACAACCAAACGCUGCUAUUACUAUGCUUUAGUGGCGUUUUCCUUAAACGCCACUAAUUAUAAUAUACAUCAAGACCAAAACGCUGCGUUUUGGUUAAGAUGUUUUGCGGCAUUUAACGCUCAGCGCCGCUAAUACUAUACAUUAGCGGCGUUUUCUUUAUAAGCACCACUAAUUGUAAUAUACAUCAACACCAAACUCUGCGUUUUGGUUAACAUCUUUUGCGGCGCUUCCGCUAAGCGUCGCUAAUACUAUGCAUUACCGGCGUUUGUUCGUAAGCGCCACUAAUUCUAAUAUACAUCAAGACCAGAACACUGCGUGUUGGUCUUGAGAUUCUACGGCACUGUGUGGUAAACGCCACUAAUGAUGUUUUUUUUAUGGCGUUUGUUCGGGAAACGCCACUAUUCAUCCGACUUUUUGCGGCGUUUUAAAAGAAGCGCCGCUAAUGCUAGAUCUUUAGCGGCGUUGUAUUCUUUGCGCCACUAAUGCUCGAUUUUUAGCGGCGUUUGUAAUCCAAACGCCACAAAAUAUGCCGCUAAAAGCCUGUUCUGGUGUAGUGUUAGAGUUGAGCCCAUAAUUUGGGGUGUUGGAUUUAAUUAAACCCGUUGGUAGAUCAUAGCAUAUUUAUAAGUUGGGAUUUAGGAGUACUCAUUUAUUUUUGAUGAUUUUUAUGAGUGUUACAUAACAUCCUUUAUGUAUAUAUAUUUGAAGUUGUUUGAGUUUGAUAUUUAAUCAUUAGAAUUAAAAAUCCAAUUCUCUACUAAUAAAUCAAACAAUUGUUUUUUUUAGUGUUAUUUUUGAGCUCUUAUGUAUUUGUAUUUUACCUAUGUUUAUAGUGUUGACUGGUCAAAAUUAUAGGGUAUAUAAAAAACAUUAUUGUGUAAAAUUGUUUGAUUUAAAUUAAAAAAUAAAUAUGUCAAAUUAAAAUUUUAUUAUAGUAUAAUUAAUAUUUGAAAUCAUAAAUAUUAGAAAACUGUUUCAAAGCAAAAUAAUAAAAAAUUAUUAUAGUCUUUACAUAAUAUAAAUUUUAGAAUUUUUAUGAAUAUUUUAACUUUAAAAAUAUUUUAAUAUAUUUUUGUAAUUUUUGUUGAGAGAGAAUAUUAAUUUGUUAAUUUUUAAAAUUGACAAGAAUCAAAGGAGUAAAUAUAUCAAUCUGUUAUUUGAAUUAUUCGAAUUAUUUAAAUUAUAAAAUUCAACUCGAACCUCGAAUUAUAACUAUUUUUAAUAUUAUAAAAUAUUAAAAUAUUAAAAUUAAAUAAUAAUUAAAUAAUAAUAUAGAAAUGAAAAUAUUUCUCAAGCUUUAAGAAAGUUUGAAAGCUGAAAUUUAAAAAUGUAUCUUUCAAAAGUGAAAAAUUCUAUAUAUUCUAUCAUCAAAAUUUCCACUUAUUGUGUCCAUCAAUCUAUAAGGUGACUUGACUUGUACACAUUGGUUAAACAUUAUUUUUGUGCAAUAAAAACUUGGACAUUUGCAUGCAAUGCCAAAGACUUAAUACCUAAAUUAAAAGGCCUAUAAUAUUUCAUACUACAAUUUUUUCUGGUCCUAAAUUAAAGAUUUUAAAAUUUUCAAAUUAAAACCAUUAUGAUUUAAAAUUAUUAUAGUUUUUACAAAAUAUAAAUUUGAGAAUUUUUAUGAAUAUUUUGAUUUUAAAAAUUAUUUAAAAUUUUAUUUGAAAACUUUUGUUGAGAGAGAUCAAUUUGUUAAUUUUUAAAAUUGACAGGGACCAAAGGAGCAUGUACAUCAAUUUAUUGUUUGAAGUAUUUGAGUUAUUUAAAUUGUAAAAUUCAACUCGAAACUCGAAUUAUAAAAAUAUUUAUUAAUAUAAAACAUAAAACAUAAAAAUUAAAUAUUAAAAAAAUGACAUCAAUAAUAUAUUAUUCUCUAAUAAUAUAUUAAAACGCAAAUUAAAUGUGAAUUUAACAACUUAUUUCUAAUACUAACAACAAAUAAUUUAUGCUAUAAAUUAUUUAUUAUUAGUAUUAUUAUUAUUAUUAUCCCUUGCUGGAAAAGGUUAACCAAAAAGACUUAACUAAAGUGGUGGAACAUUAUUUUGAUGCAGUAUUGACUGGGCAAAAAGACUUGGAAAUUGCAUGCUAUGCCAAACAUGAAAACUACACAUUUGUGUAUAAAUAAGUUGUAUGCCAAGCACAAUCCUUCUUCACACCCAACAAACAUGAACACUCUUCAUUUCCUUAUUUCACUCUUCCUCUUCUCAUGCUUCCUUUCUCUUGUCUUGUCUUUUUCACCUCCUCAAUCUCAUCUCCCUAAGCAAUGCCUUGAUGACCAGAGAGCUCCUCUCCUGCAAUUGCAGCAUCAUCUUUACUAUGCCCCUCAUUUUACUUUCUCUUCCGAAUUUGACCUCUGGGAUGUCAACACUGAUUGUUGCUCUUGGGAAGGAGUCACUUGUGAUGCUUAUGGUCAUGUCGUUGGCAUUGAUCUUAGUUACAAAAACCUUUCAGGCAGCUUUCACCCCAUAUUCAAUCUCCAUCGUCUUCAACGCCUUAAUCUUGCUGGAAACAACUUUAAUACCACUCUGUUUUCCUAUGGGUUUGAUAAACUCCAAAAUCUAACUCAUCUCAACCUUUCAAGCUCAUGUUUCCAUGGCCAAAUUCCAAUGAACAUCUCACACCUAACAAGGUUAGUCUCUCUGAACCUAUCUUAUCAAGAUGAUUGCUAUUGGAGAAAUGGUUACGAUUAUAAC